rnacentral:rRNA from 1 species
GACGAACCGUCCAAACGUUAUUCGGAAUCACUGGGCUUACAGAGUUCGUAGGCGGUCUGGAAAGUUGGGUGUGAAAUCCCUCGGCUCAACCGAGGAACUGCGCUUGAAACUACCAGACUCGAGGGAGAUAGAGGAAAGCGGAACUGAUGGUGGAGCGGUGAAAUGCGUUGAUAUCAUCAGGAACACCGGUGGCGAAGGCGGCUUUCUGG